GGCUCUCAAACUCAGGGAAGAGGUCUCGGGCUCCCCCUGUCAGGCAGCGUCUGCUCUGCAUUCCCAGGGUUUGCUCGUUAAAUCUGCGCCUGCAGUGUGCAUACACAGUCUGUGCCCCGGGGCUUACUCGUUCGUGCAACCAAGGUAGUGGGGCCUCUCAGGCUCCGUCCGCUCUUGUGGCGUAGUCAGAGGACACAGAUGGGAGGAGGACUCUGCCUCACCAGGUGUGGACAGCAUCCAGGUUCGGGCUGGAUUCUCUCUCCAGACUGGCCUCACACACCUGGGGCUUCAUCUCUGACUUGGCCUUCCCUAGGCCCCAGGUCUACCUUCUCCUUUCUUCAGACUGUCUCUAGCUCUAUGUCUUUGGUACCCGUCCCUGGGGAGUUGCAGCAACCCAACGGAACAGAUCGCGGACACCUUGGGGACACUGCUCAGGGUCCCCUCCCAUCAAUUCCACGUUCCUGUCACCUCGAAGCGGCCUCUGUCUUCCCUCUGCAGCUGAGGCCCUCAGGUAUAGACUCUGGCUGUCCCUGCUGCAGCAAUCCCAGCAGACCCUGCCAUCGCCAACUUAAAACACACGAGAGGGAGAGCAUCAGCCCCAGAAGAUCCCGCAGGAGCCCCAGCUGAGGUGAGCAGCAGAUGGUGCCCGGGCUCCCGCUGCCAACCUUGCUAGGCGGUGCCAACCUCAGUCCUGGCAGACAACCCAUAGACUACAAGAGGAGCUUCUGCUGGCCAGGCCAACCCUCCCCCACCCGCUAGCAAACCCAAGACCCUCCGCCUGCCCGACUCCAGCGACCACCCCAAGCUGCUCCUCCACGGUCGGCUCCUAGGUCCCCAAACUCCUCGUCUCCUUCUGCUCCCUUCUGCACACCUUCCCGCUCCUCGCCACCUGCCGCCCUGACCAGGGCCGGCAUAUUUGCAUAUUUGCAUAUGCAAAUAAUAACAUUUGCAUGCGGCGCCCCGCAGGGGGGGGGGUCUCUGCUAGAACCGGUUAGCUGUCUGCCAGGCGUCCUCUAACUCCGUACCUGUCGGGAGAGGGCUGGGGGGCUGGGGCAGGGGCCGCGCGGGAGGGGUGAGGGCCCCCUGCCCCCGGUCUUGCUAGCUCCAUUCCCUGAGGACUGGAGGAAGUGUUGCCAUGGAGACGGCACGCACCCCACCCCCCUCCCAGGCCUAGGGUCUCAGGCUUGGUGUCUCCGGUUCUCUCCCCUUAGCCACCCCCCCCCCGCCCCUCCCAUCCCUCCCUCCAACUGAGAUCUUGCAUCGCCCCCUGGCGGCCACGCCGGGCUCGGAGCCAGGUUCUGAACUGCAAAGAUCUGAUGGAGACACCUAGCCCUGCGCGAUUUCUCCCAGCCACGGGGCGCUGGGGUGGCGUUCCAGUCCGGCUCUCCGCCCGCCCCGCCCCGCGCCCAGGAGAAGCCUAGGCGAGCGAGUGGCAAGUCUGCCCACUCCCGCCAGCCGUGGGUUUCCACAUCCUGACGGUAUGAGGUGGGGGCAGCCGGGGAGCAUUCUUCCCCCUUCCGCAGGCCCCAAAGACCAACUUGUCUAACUUUUGUCAAAACUUUAAUAAAUUCUCAGCAUGUGAA